rnacentral:rRNA from 1 species
UACGUAGGGGGCAAGCGUUGUCCGGAAUCAUUGGGCGUAAAGCGCGUGUAGGCGGCUUGAUAAGUCUGCUCUGAAAGCCCGGGGCUCAACCCUGGGAGGCGGGUGGAUACUGUCGAGCUCGAGUCCGGAAGAGGCGAGUGGAAUUCCUGGUGUAGCGGUGAAAUGCGCAGAUAUCAGGAGGAACACCAAUGGCGAAGGCAGCUCGCUGGGACGGUACUGACGCUGAGACGCGAAAGCGUGGGGA